GAAAUGCGUUACCUAGUGUGACAUGCAUACACUCGUGAAUCACCGACAUCUUGAACGUAACUGACAGAGCUUGCUUACGCGAGCUUUAAUCACGACCGAGUGCCAACUAAUUACCAACAAAAUUGAGCGUUUGGGUCGUUUAACCGAUUCGUCGCUCUAAAUACAACCGAAACAUUUAUCAUAGGGUAAUAUAUCGUACUGUUACACGGUAUUUUAAACCGAUAAAAUGUCUAGGGUAUCCAAAACCCGGUGUUUUUAACGGGGAUCACUUAUAACUGGGAUUAAAUAACCCAGUCACAUUUGACCUCGAUCGUGAUAGACUACCCGCUGAAUUUAA
rnacentral:misc_RNA from 1 species